rnacentral:lncRNA from 1 species
AUGUUUAAUUAAUUUCAACACUUUAUUACUUACUUGAACUAAGAAGUGAUUACGGAAAUCACUUACCUUGUGCAUCCGUGUUCAUAACCGCUUCCUUGCCUCAUCUUGACCCGUUAGCCUUCCAUGCUUGGUCCAUGCUAUGAUUACGGAAAUCACUUACCUCGUGCAUCCAUGUUCGUAACCGCUUCCUUGCCUCAUUUCGACCCGUUAGCCUUUCAUGCUUGGUCCAUGCUAGUGUGGUUCCUAUCCUUUCAUGUCGUCAUGCCAUAAUAAUGUUAGUACUCAUGCUUAUUCAUAUUAAUACACAUUUUCCAGCUCUUAUCUACAUUGACUUUCACUAACACGCAUACGACAUAAAUUAUCAACCACAUUGUUCAGUUAGACAACCUAACGUAAUUCAUAACAUCAUCCUUUACUAGCAUGGUCAUAUAUUAUAUAUUUAGUACACAUUCACAUUCUUGAUUGAAAUUAAGUGAUUAAUAAAAACACAUGGGGAGCAUCGCCCGUUCAAGCACAACGUGCAAGCUUCUAAUGCAUAAUCUUGAUCAUCACAUACAUUCAACCCGAAUUCUCUUUAUGAAUUUCCUCUAAGGCACAUUAUUCAAGUUAGUUUACUACCGACCUCGUCAUUCCCCAAUUCAUUCAUAAAUGUCAAGCCCUUUGAUAAAAUUCUCAUAUCCUAAUAUCACUUGGGCAUUUCAUCAAACACUUGGUGUGCAUGCCAUCACUUAAGCCUAUAGUACAAGUAUUUUAUGCAUACUCUUCCUAGUUCAUAACAUAGAUCAUCAAUUUCAACUAGAAUCAUAUAACUUUUAUGCCAUUAUCUAACAAUAAUUCAUCAUACCCACAUAAUACAUCAUUCUUUCAACAAGAAUUAAACAUAAAUGGUGAUUCAAGUCAUCAUC